UUCCCCUCUCUCUCUCUCUCUUCAAGCUGCCUGCCUUGUGCUCGGCUGUAUGAUUUUCCCUGAUGGCUGGGAUUCAGAUGAAGUAAAGCGGAUGUGUGGAGACAAAACAGACAAGUACACUCUUGGGGCUUGUUCAGUCCGCUGGGCAUACAUCCUGGCUAUUAUUGGAAUUUUGGAUGCGCUGAUCCUCUCGUUUCUAGCAUUUGUGCUUGGUAACCGACAAGACAGCUUGAUGGCAGAAGAACUGAAGGCAGAAAACAAAGAGGAUGGAAAUGCUUAAGGCAAACUAAGGUAGUGUGAGACCACACCAUUUCUGCUAAGCCAAUAUUCUCUAGAAUGAGCACAAAACAAAUCAAAUAACAGCUAAACAAAUCGAAUAACAGCUUUUGUACAUCAACAUCAAGAAGGAAGACUCUUGGGAGAGAUCAGAGUCCAGUGAUGAAUAUGGAUCUAGAUCUGCAGAGAUGGAAGUGAUUUUCUGGAGAGAGACAUGAUCAUGGAUUAAACACCAGCUCAUUGGAAAACUGUCAUUGAAUAAGAUCAGAUAACAUUCAUGAAAAAUCAUAUUCAGGAAAUAUUUUAAGGAGGAGGAAUAUAAAUGUGCUAGAAUUAACAUGUAAAAUACAUAUGUACUGAGGUUUGUAAACUGUCCUUUUUUAAUCAAACUGAAAACAAAAAGCUUUAAUCUUUCAAUACCAUAAAAAAAAAAAGGGCAGUUAGUUCUAGAUUAUUCCUAUCUCAAUAGCCACGAGGCUGAUCAAGUGUCAUUUAUUGAGGAAGCAUCUUAGGAAAUGCCUCUGACCUUUGGUUUUUCCAUCCCUACUUCUCCUUUAUUUCACUGUGUAAUUAGUUACAACCACUCAGUUACUAAGAGAUUUAACGCUUCAAACUUUUUACCAAGUCUGUGUUCAGUUUAAUGUGUCUAUACAAGUUAUUACUGAGAAAGUGUUUCUGACAUAUACUAUUACUCUGUUGAGCUGUAUAUUACAGGAAGUACAUCUUUACAUCAUAGUUUCCCAAGCAACAUACGUUUCCCAAACUGUCAGGAAAUGGCAUCAAGGAACUCUGAAAAACAUAGAAAGCUCAUUUUCACCUUAGAUGCUCACAUGUAAUAUAUAGGCUGCUAUCAAAUAAACACUUUUUUCUAAUUCUCCCUAGUAUAUGCAUAGGAAUUUAAUAUACUUUAUAAAUAGAUAUCUAAAAUAUCUGAUUUUUUUUUCUAUUUCUUUGCCCUUCAUGUCAUCAGAAAUCCAUAUCCUUUAUUUCCUUUACUGACAGGUAUUCAUUUUUGUUUCUUUUAAUUAUUUCAUUAAACCUAUUUCUAAAUGAUAGUAAGUGGUACUAACAAAAUAAAUAAUAAUUUAAUAGCCUUAGAAAUAAAUGACUAUAUACUUACACAGGUCAAAGAAACUUGGUAGGAAUAAGUUACCUUUUUAUUAAUAUUGACUUCAAAAAUCUUCAAAUUUUCUUUAGUUGGCUGGGAUUUGGAAGUAGUUAUAGCUAACCAGUUGUCUUCAACAAUCUUUUGAUCCCAGGUUCCCCCCCACCAUAACGUACUGCCCUCAUGACAUACCCUGCCACUAUUCAACAACAGAGAAAUAUUUAAUAAUGGAAUAGCCAAUUACCUGAGAAAGAGCACAAGCACAUGCAGGGUUACCCAGUGGAAGCCAACUAAUGUUCUAUACCUAAGCAGAAAACUCAGAUGUAUAGAAUGCCUUCACUCAUGGGCUCAGAACUAAGAUCCAGUCAGCAUAUAUUGCUGGAACAUCAGAACUGACGUGGAUCAGGAUUGACCUCCUUACCCUCUCUCUAGGACCACAUUCUUAUUUUAGCCAGAUGUCUCUGGUACUGGUCAUCUUUUCACCACAAACAGGAUCAUCUCUCAAAUGGCUAAAAGUAUAUUAUAGGUACACUGAAGUAGGUGAAACCCAAUUCACAGAGAUAUGGUUUUCCUAAAGAACCAAAUUAAGGGAAUACUAGUGUCUGUAACUAAAGUGUUAGUCAUUCUGGGGGUUAUUUGUUGCGUUAAGUAUUAGCUGUCCUGUUGCAUUCAGAACACCUUACUUACUAAAUUUAAUUACACACAACUUUUCAAGAAUUCAUCUUUUAUUUAAAGGGAGGUAUCUCUCUACUUUAUCUACAAUAAAAGCAGAAGGUAUUCGCCUUCUCUAAUCUAUGUAAAUUACAGAUCCCAUCAGGAGUCCUACACCACCAAUAGUGGUGUUAACAAAAAUGAAAAAGUACUUCCUAUCCACAUACAAAUGUUUUUU